rnacentral:rRNA from 1 species
GACGAACGCUGGCGGCGUGCCUAACACAUGCAAGUCGAGCGAAUGAAGUUCCUUCGGGAACGGAUUUAGCGGCGGACGGGUGAGUAACACGUGGGCAACCUGCCUCAUAGAGGGGAAUAGCCUUCCGAAAGGGAGAUUAAUACCGCAUAAGAUUGUAGUACCGCAUGGUACAGCAAUUAAAGGAGCAAUCCGCUAUGAGAUGGGCCCGCGGCGCAUUAGCUAGUUGGUGAGGUAACGGCUCACCAAGGUGACGAUGCGUAGCCGACCUGAGGGGGUGAUCGGCCACAUGGGGACUGAGACACGGCCCAGACUCCUACGGGAGGCAGCAGUGGGGAAUAUUGCACAAUGGGGGAAACCCUGAUGCAGCAACGCCGCGUGAGUGAUGACGGCCUUCGGGUUGUAAAGCUCUGUCUUCAGGGACGAUAAUGACGGUACCUGAGGAGGAAGCCACGGCUAACUACGUGCCAGCCGCCGCCGUAA